rnacentral:tRNA from 1 species
GCUGUGGCUCAGGGGUAGAGCAUGUGCUUGGCAUGCAGAGGGUCCCAGGUUCAAGCCCCAGCAUCACCA